UACGUAGGCAGCAAGCGUUGUUCGGAGUUACUGGGCGUAAAGAGUGCGUAGGCGGCGCGGUAAGUCGGGUGUGAAAUCUUGGAGCUUAACUCCGAAACUGCAUUCGAUACUGCCGUGCUUGAGGACUGGAGAGGAGACUGGAAUUUACGGUGUAGCGGUGAAAUGCGUAGAUAUCGUAAGGAAGACCAGUGGCGAAGGCGGGUCUCUGGACAGUUCCUGACGCUGAGGCACGAAGGCCAGGGGAGCAAACGGG
rnacentral:rRNA from 1 species